rnacentral:rRNA from 1 species
UCGAGCGAUGAGGCUCCCUUCGGGGGGUACAUCAGCGGCGAACGGGUGAGUAACACGUGGGUGACCUUCCCCAAAGACGGGGAUAACGCUUGGAAACAGGGGCUAAUACCCGAUGUGCUCAGCAGUUCACUCUGUUGAGUAAAGCUAUGGCGCUUUGGGAUGGGCCCGCGGCCCAUCAGCUAGUUGGUAGGGUAAAGGCCUACCAAGGCUAAGACGGGUAGGGGGCGUGAGAGCGCGAUCCCCCACACUGGCACUGAGACACGGGCCAGACUCCUACGGGAGGCAGCAGUGAGGAAUAUUGCGCAAUGGACGAAAGUCUGACGCAGCGACGCCGCGUGGGCGAUGAAGGCCUUCGGGUCGUAAAGCCCUUUUCUGGGGGAAGAGAAAGGACGGUACCCCAGGAAUAAGCCCCGGCUAACUACGUGCCAGCAGCCGCGGUAAAACGUAGGGGGCAAGCGUUAUCCGGAUUUACUGGGCGUAAAGAGCGUUGAGGCGGAUUAGUAAGUUGGGCG